rnacentral:rRNA from 1 species
AGCGGGUGACAGGAGCUUGCUCCUGAAUUCAGCGGCGGACGGGUGAGUAAUGCCUAGGAAUCUGCCUGGUAGUGGGGGACAACGUUUCGAAAGGAACGCUAAUACCGCAUACGUCCUACGGGAGAAAGCAGGGGACCUUCGGGCCUUGCGCUAUCAGAUGAGCCUAGGUCGGAUUAGCUAGUUGGUGAGGUAAUGGCUCACCAAGGCGACGAUCCGUAACUGGUCUGAGAGGAUGAUCAGUCACACUGGAACUGAGACACGGUCCAGACUCCUACGGGAGGCAGCAGUGGGGAAUAUUGGACAAUGGGCGAAAGCCUGAUCCAGCCAUGCCGCGUGUGUGAAGAAGGUCUUCGGAUUGAAAAGCACUUUAAGUUGGGAGGAAGGGCAUUAACCUAAUACGUUAGUG